rnacentral:tRNA from 1 species
GGAGAGAUGCCAGAGUGGUCGAAUGGGACUGACUCGAAAUCAGUUGUUCUGCGCAAGUUGGACCGAGGGUUCGAAUCCCUCUCUCUCCGCUA